UUGCACGCUGGCGGCAUGCUUUACACCUGCCAGUCGCACGGCAGCGCGGGCUUCGGCCUGGCGGCGAGUGGCGAACGGGUGAGUAAUGCAUCGGAACGUGCCCAGUAGUGGGGGAUAGCCCGGCGAAAGCCGGAUUAAUACCGCAUACGACCUGAGGGUGAAAGCGGGGGACCGAAAGGCCUCGCGCUAUUGGAGCGGCCGAUGUCGGAUUAGCUAGUUGGUGGGGUAAAGGCUUACCAAGGCGACGAUCCGUAGCUGGUCUGAGAGGACGACCGGCCACACUGGGACUGAGACACGGCCCAGACUCCUACGGGAGGCAGCAGUGGGGAAUUUUGGACAAUGGGGGCAACCCUGAUCCAGCCAUGCCGCGUGCGGGAAGAAGGCCUUCGGGUUGUAAACCGCUUUUGUUCGGGAAGAAAUCCUCUGGGCUAAUACCCCGGGGGGAUGACGGUACCGGAAGAAUAAGCACCGGCUAACUACGUG
rnacentral:rRNA from 1 species